AGCCUGCAACUGAGGAAAGUCAACAGAUGAUAGCACAUUUUGAUGGCCUAAACCUCCAAACUUUCUACAAUAACUCAUUUCUCUCACCAAAAGCACUGUUGGAAGGAGAUGCAAGCUUGCUAAUGAAGAAUGUGUCUAACUCUGACACAGGAGAUUACUUCUGUGAUGUCCUGGUGACACCAGUAAAGAAAGAAAUCCAACUCAACUUAAAUGUAGCAGAAAAGGAACAUAAGAAAAAUAAAGAAACAAGAAAGCCAUUUCGAAAAUACCCAUAUGGCAUUAUUGGUACAGUGGCUGGUUUAGGUGUAGCUGGAGCCUUAAUUUACACAGCAGGGUUAAAGAAACGAUUUCUAAAGAUAAACAAGACAUUUCCUAAAAGGCCUAUUUCAAGUUGUAUGACUAAAUCAUGUCAAAUCACAUAACAUCUGACUGGAAUCUUUGGCUGGCAAACGAUGUCAUCCUCCACUUCCAACUAUGACUGCCCAGAUUGAGACAGAUGGCUUCUUUUUAAGCAUUUCAUCUGAAAGCACUUCCCAGCCAAACAUGGUCACCUCCGCAUGACAGGGAAGUCUUCCCCUGGCUGCUCCAUCGGGCAGCACCAAAGGACCCAAACAGUGCUUCCCAUUGGAACUACAACUCCCAUGCAGCCCUGUUCCACCAGUAGGGUGCUGCCACCCAGUGUACCAAGGGAAAACACAUCUUCCACUGUCCAUUCAGUACAUUAGCCACCUGGCCAGGUAUAGAAGCACCAACUUUCUGGGUGGGGUGCCAGCCCAUUUAUGCCUCCCUUUAUAAGACCCUAAAAGUGUCCUUAAUCUGGUGAUGUAAAACUGGAGCAUACUGGUAAUAGAACCAUCACACAAAACUGUCACAGCAGUCUCUUCAAGGGACUUAUCACUUUAAAUCUUUGAUUGGGCAAAGAACACUUGCCUAUAAUUUUCCUAAAAAAUGACAUCCUGUAGAGAACCUCAUUUCAAAGCACUUUAUAUAUUGAAAAAUUUUGAUUCAAGACAGAUAUAGUGGCUUACCUUUGGGUGAUGCACAUAGGUAGCAGUGGGACUUAACUUGCAACCUUGUGGUUUAAAGUCCACUUUCACAGCAAGUAUACACAAGUGGAAUAAGCUCAUUUGUCUGAUUGAAAAAUAUUGUGGGAUAUUCUUGAUUUAUACGUUAGCUCCUUGUCACUUAAGGUUCUACUGCACUUCUACUGCCAACAGUAAAGGAUAGUGAGUACAGUGCUUUAAUAGAAUAAUUUUCACUUUUAUACAUCCACACUAGAAAGGAUAUUUAUGCAUUAAAAACCACCAUUCCUUUUUUAUGUUGUGUGUGUUACACCUUCUUUGUUAGAUGAUCAUUAUACCCAAACUAAACCAAUAACUUGGCAAAGUAGCUCAUAAUCUGAAAUUAAAUAUUAAGGAUGUGUGCAUACAGCUUUUGUACACAUACAUGAAAAAUGGUAGCCAUUCUUGAGGAUGGAAACUACCCAAUAUAUAAGAAAUCAUUGAAACCAUAUCCAUACAUAAAGAAUCAGUAAAUAAAUCAGAUGUAAGCCAAAACUACGCUUUGCAACCCAGUAACUUUUAACAGUAUCUACUAUGGGAAUGAUAAUAUGAAUAAUACAUAAAUAAUGCCUUAAUACAUAAAUUAUUUUUUUUAAUAAUUCCAUUCAUUUGGAAACAGUAAAUAAAGACAGAAUCCAACUCAAACAAAUGACAUAGCAAGAAUGUUACAACUGAAAAGCAAAGCUCAGCAUUUUGCCUGAACCAACAAAUGCUGAAACAGCAAGUUGAAUAAAGAAAGUUAGCACAGGCCUGGCAUGUUUAUCAACGAAGUCUUGCAAAGUUUUGAAAAAAAUCUGAACUUAUCUUUGUAAAAAAAAAAUAAUUCAAAUUUGAGAUUAGAGUGCUUUCUCACUGAGUUACAGAUGGUGGACUGGGUUAUGACUGACUUUUCAUAAGACAUUUAACUCAUCUGGUAGUACUCCAUGUAGGCACUGAGAUGGAUAUACAACACAAUGUUUAAAACUUCAUAGACUAUAAUAAAAUUUUUAUUUGAUAUACUUAUACUGUUAAUCUCCAAGGGAAAAUAGUCUUUUCACAUGACCAUUGUGGGGACAAAGCGCAUGGUGGAACUAAAGGGCAUCCCCUAACUGCACCAUCAAAGCCUUCAUCACAUACCUCAUUUUUUAACUUAUGAUUUAUUUAUGUAGCACUUUUUGUUAUUAUAUUCUUCUUUGAUUUGUAUAGCUUUCAGGGGCUUCAUUAUUUGCAAUUCAGAGGAUUCUGGUCCUUUAAAAAAUGAAGUGGUAGUGUUGGACAUUAAAAACUCCCAAAAACAUGAUUUCAGAAGACAACUUGUAAAUGAAUAACAUAAGCAUUACAAGAGGGACUAAUAUAUGAAGUGUAGACCUCUCUUCAUCCAAUGAUUCUUCUGAAAGUACUCUCUCAGUCGAUUGUGAAAUGAAUCCUGAUAAUAUUUUAAGCAAUUUUAAUGUUUUAACACUAAAUUGUUUCUAUUAACAAUGAAACCAGUAAAAGUUAUAAAGCAGUGUGCAGUUUUUUCAUUAAGUAA